UAACGCGUGAAGUUGGCCGCCUGGGGAGUACGGUCGCAAGAUUAAAACUCAAAGGAAUUGACGGGGACCCGCACAAGCGGUGGAUGAUGUGGAUUAAUUCGAUGCAACGCGAAAAACCUUACCUACCCUUGACAUGCCAGGAACCUUGCUGAGAGGUGAGGGUGCCCGAAAGGGAGCCUGGACACAGGUGCUGCAUGGCUGUCGUCAGCUCGUGUCGUGAGAUGUUGGGUUAAGUCCCGCAACGAGCGCAACCCUUGCCAUUAAUUGCCGUCAUUUAGUUGGGCACUUUAAUGGGACUGCCGGUGACAAACCGGAGGAAGGUGGGGAUGACGUCAAGUCCUCAUGGCCCUUAUGGGUAGGGCUUCACACGUCAUACAAUGGUCGGUACAGAGGGUUGCCAAGCCGCGAGGUGGAGCGAAUCUCACAAAGCCGAUCGUAGUCCGGAUUGCAGUCUGCAACUCGACUGCAUGAAGUCGGAAUCGCUAGUAAUCGCGGAUCAGCAUGUCGCGGUGAAUACGUUCCUGGGUCUUGUACACACCGCCCGUCACACCAUGGGAGUGGGUUUCACCUGAAGUAGGUAGUCUAACCGCAAGGGGGGCGCUUACCACGGUGGGAUUCAUGACUGG
rnacentral:rRNA from 1 species